CUAUGUGGCCAUGUGGCUUGUCAAAGUGUGAUCUCAACAUAUCUCACAGGCUAAGCAGGGCCGGGCCUCGUUAAUACUUGGAUGAGAGGCUGCUGGGAAUACCAGGUGCCACAGAGG
rnacentral:rRNA from 1 species